rnacentral:rRNA from 1 species
UAAAUACUACUGACUGACCGAUAGUGAACCAGUACCGUGAGGGAAAGGCGAAAAGAACCCCGGAGAGGGGAGUGAAAUAGAACCUGAAACCGUAUGCGUACAAGCAGUGGGAGCCUACUUGUUAGGUGACUGCGUACCUUUUGUAUAAUGGGUCAGCGACUUAUAUUCAGUGGCAAGCUUAACCGUAUAGGGUAGGCGUAGCGAAAGCGAGUCUUAAUAGGGCGUUUAGUCGCUGGGUAUAGACCCGAAACCGGGCGAUCUAUCCAUGAGCAGGUUGAAGGUUAGGUAACACUGACUGGAGGACCGAACCCACUCCCGUUGAAAAGGUAGGGGAUGACUUGUGGAUCGGAGUGAAAGGCUAAUCAAGCUCGGAGAUAGCUGGUUCUCCUCGAAAGCUAUUUAGGUAGCGCCUCAUGUAUCACUCUGGGGGGUAGAGCACUGUUUCGGCUAGGGGGUCAUCCCGACUUACCAAACCGAUGCAAACUCCGAAUACCCAGAAGUGCCGAGCAUGGGAGACACACGGCGGGUGCUAACGUCCGUCGUGAAAAGGGAAACAACCCAGACCGCCAGCUAAGGUCCCAAAGUUGUGGUUAAGUGGUAAACGAUGUGGGAAGGCUUAGACAGCUAGGAGGUUGGCUUAGAAGCAGCCACCCUUUAAAGAAAGCGUAAUAGCUCACUAGUCGAGUCGGCCUGCGCGGAAGAUGUAACGGGGCUCAAACCACACACCGAAGCUGCGGGUGUCACGCAAGUGACGCGGUAGAGGAGCGUUCUGUAAGCCUGUGAAGGUGAGUUGAGAAGCUUGCUGGAGGUAUCAGAAGUGCGAAUGCUGACAUGAGUAACGACAAUGGGUGUGAAAAACACCCACGCCGAAAGACCAAGGGUUCCUGCGCAACGUUAAUCGACGCAGGGUUAGUCGGUUCCUAAGGCGAGGCUGAAAAGCGUAGUCGAUGGGAAACAGGUUAAUAUUCCUGUACUUCUGGUUACUGCGAUGGAGGGACGGAGAAGGCUAGGCCAGCUUGGCGUUGGUUGUCCAAGUUUAAGGUGGUAGGCUGAAAUCUUAGGUAAAUCCGGGGUUUCAAGGCCGAGAGCUGAUGACGAGUCGUCUUUUAGAUGACGAAGUGGUUGAUGCCAUGCUUCCAAGAAAAGCUUCUAAGCUUCAGGUAACCAGGAACCGUACCCCAAACCGACACAGGUGGUCGGGUAGAGAAUACCAAGGCGCUUGAGAGAACUCGGGUGAAGGAACUAGGCAAAAUGGCACCGUAACUUCGGGAGAAGGUGCGCCGGCUAGGGUGAAGGAUUUACUCCGUAAGCUCUGGCUGGUCGAAGAUACCAGGCCGCUGCGACUGUUUAUUAAAAACACAGCACUCUGCAAACACGAAAGUGGACGUAUAGGGUGUGACGCCUGCCCGGUGCCGGAAGGUUAAUUGAUGGGGUUAGCGCAAGCGAAGCUCUUGAUCGAAGCCCCGGUAAACGGCGGCCGUAACUAUAACGGUCCUAAGGUAGCGAAAUUCCUUGUCGGGUAAGUUCCGACCUGCACGAAUGGCGUAACGAUGGCGGCGCUGUCUCCACCCGAGACUCAGUGAAAUUGAAAUCGCUGUGAAGAUGCAGUGUAUCCGCGGCUAGACGGAAAGACCCCGUGAACCUUUACUGUAGCUUUGCACUGGACUUUGAGCCUGCUUGUGUAGGAUAGGUGGGAGGCUUUGAAGCGUGGACGCCAGUUCGCGUGGAGCCAUCCUUGAAAUACCACCCUGGCAUGCUU